AUAAGUAAAAUAGGGCUGUUUGAAAGAAACAUUGCCCAAUUUAUUUACAGGCAGAAUACCGGGAGUCCUAUGUGAAAGUAGUAUAGGAAACAGGCGUUCUCGGUACUGCAUUUCAACACCCUUAUAUUGUGUGCAUGCAUGCAUCUGUUCAUGCUCGUGAUAGACCUGCCUAUGUGUCCUAUGUUGACACAUGUGUCUACUGUCUAACAGAGCAUCUCUGGAGGAACAUUAUGGAACAUUAAAUGUGGCUGACACUGCUGUCGGCAGCAAACAUCUCACCCUUCACCCUCAAGAAGUCGGAGCAGCAACAGCGGCGGCAGCAGGCAGAGCGUGAUCACCACGAGGAGAGGAAGAAGCUGAGGAGGUCCGUAGGACACCUGUCGAGUGAGAGAGCUGCUCACAGCCAUUUCCCAACUUAAUUUGUGGCAGAAUGACACUUUGUUACCGUCUGGGAGUCGAGCGGUUGUGAUGCAAAAGUGAGCUGAUCGAUUGUGACCUGUCCUGUAACACAGUUAUGAAGAUAUAUUGGUGGAGCUGCUAUGAAAGGAUACAGUGUGUAUUAUCUAUUGAUUGCAAAAUGUUGUGAUUGUGUGGUGUAUGCAGUUUGUGCAUCCACAUAUGUGCACUUUUGUGUGUGCCUUCAGAAAGUAUUCAUA
rnacentral:lncRNA from 13 species